rnacentral:rRNA from 1 species
UACGGGGGGGGCAAGCGUUGUUCGGAAUUACUGGGCGUAAAGGGCGCGUAGGCGGCACAGCAAGUCGGGAGUGAAAGCCCGGGGCUCAACCCCGGAACUGCUUUCGAAACUGCUGAGCUAGAGUACAGAAGGGGCAACCGGAAUUCCCAGUGUAGCGGUGAAAUGCGUAGAUAUUGGGAAGAACACCUGAGGCGAAGGCGGGUUGCUGGGCUGAUACUGACGCUGAGGCGCGAAAGCCAGGGGAGCAAACGGG